rnacentral:rRNA from 1 species
UAGAGUUUGAUCAUGGCUCAGAUUGAACGCUGGCGGCAGGCCUAACACAUGCAAGUCGAGCGGUAGAGAGAAGCUUGCUUCUCUUGAGAGCGGCGGACGGGUGAGUAAUGCCUAGGAAUCUGCCUAGUGGUGGGGGAUAACGUUCGGAAACGGACGCUAAUACCGCAUACGUCCUACGGGAGAAAGCGGGGGACCUUCGGGCCUCGCGCCAUUAGAUGAGCCUAGGUCGGAUUAGCUAGUUGGUGAGGUAAAGGCUCACCAAGGCGACGAUCCGUAACUGGUCUGAGAGGAUGAUCAGUCACACUGGAACUGAGACACGGUCCAGACUCCUACGGGAGGCAGCAGUGGGGAAUAUUGGACAAUGGGCGAAAGCCUGAUCCAGCCAUGCCGCGUGUGUGAAGAAGGUCUUCGGAUUGUAAAGCACUUUAAGUUGGGAGGAAGGGUAGUAACUUAAUACGUUGCUGCUUUGAAGUACCGACAGAAUAA